rnacentral:sRNA from 1 species
GCCAGUAACAAACAUGGCUCCCUGAAGCCGCUCAGGCUCAAGAGCAACAUGGAGGUCUGCACUUAAUCGCUCCUCUCCGGGGGCGGCCAUACUGAGGAGGCAUCUCUUCCGUGCAGGCAGGCUGUCCUGGGGACCUCAGAGAUUCUCUCCAGCGGCAGCGGAAACUGGGCAAUGGGUGGAUUCGGGUCCAGAUUCUGGCAGGAGGGAGUUUGGGAUCGAGAUCUGGAAAAAAGCACUAGACUGGAAGAGGACGCGAUAGAAUCGGAGCCGCUGGCGGGGACAAAACCAGAGGCCGUGGAAGGCGCCGGUGGGAGGCAAGGCACGGAUGGACUUUACCUGCGCACGCGUCGCAGCCAUCUCCGCGCACAGUGGUGGCCACCGCGACUGGUGCGGAAGUGUCGGCGCGUGCCCGGCGCUCCGCUGGGACCCGGGUUGCUCGCCCUGAGUCUCAGCUUUCUCAUCUGUACGGUUGGGACAAGUACAGUAACCCUCGCCCGUCAAGACGGGCCAGGGCUGUCGCGAGGGUCCACGCCUUAGUGCAGGCACCUAUCUUGUGCGGGGCCCUGAGAUGGGGUCUGACUCAGUUCCUGCGGGGAACUUCACCAGUGACCCAGUCAGUGCCCUUCAGUUAAAGACCACCAGGAGCACACUU